GCCUAUGCUUCUCGUAUGUGGAUAUGUGCGUCGCCACGAGUGUGUGUGUCGACAUGUUGUCAUCGUAUAUCUGCCUUGUGUGGUUUUGUACCUAGCGUGAUUUGGCGUCCAAAACUAAAUAUACAUUCUGCAAUCGUUGUGAACAAUCUGGUUUGGUUAGUGUUUUUUGAAACAAAAUAUAUGAAAAUGAAACGUAACUCUUCGCAUUUUCAUAAAUUAGGUGUGACGGGUCAACUGUACAAAAUGUCGGCUCGAAGGGAAGCUUUGGAAAAGUCUGCUGAACAAGAAUCCGAAAAUGCUGACCCUGAUUCUACGGUUGAUUGUUUACAUGUCGAAUACAAUUUCAUGCCCUCCGUUUCAGACAACCAUACAGAAGACAACCAAACAAUCGAUGUUGUUCCGAUUUUUGAAACACCGGAUGGUUAUACCGACAACACGUUUGAAGCAUCGUAUCUCGACGAAGAUUAUGAUUGGCUGAGUCAAGCUGAUUGAGCAUGUGAAAGUUUCAGAAAGGAUUAAUAUUAAUGUAUCCAUCGAUUGAUUGCCAUUGUUCAAAGGAUCUCCUUCUUCAUUUUGGUCAAUAUUGAUCAACGUUCAUGAGAUUCCGAUUCUGUCGCCUAUGAUUGCAGCAAUGUUCCACGGCAUCACUAAACAUUCCCAGCUACAGGAAUUUCUAGGACCGUUUGUUAAAGAGAUGAAUUAUGUUAUCGAAAAUGGUAUCCAAAUUAACAACACAGUAGUUAGUGUGACCUUGCGCGCAUUUAUAUGCGAUGUCCCGGCAAGAGCUUACUAUCAAGGUGUCAUGUAUUUCAACGCAAAACAUGGAUGUUUGAAAUGUUGCACCGUCGGCGAACACAGAUCUAAGAACAGAUAGAAGAUAUUGUGGUAGCAGAUCGCCUGUAUCUAUAUCUCGUUUCUUAAAAAAUUGUUAAUAUUCUUAAAAACAAGCGUAUUUAUUAAAAGGUUGUGAAAGAAAUUAACUCAAGAAUAUGAUGUAAACUCAUACAGUUCUAAUGUGUUCCCGUCCUUUUGGUAAACUUAUCAAGAGGUUGCGU